UCGCAGUUGGCAGGGACGGACACGCCGUCGAGCACGGCGCCGGCCAUGUCCCAGUCGGUCGGGCGCCGGUUCAAAUCCAGCACAGCGCG
rnacentral:tRNA from 1 species